UGGCGGCGUGCCUAAUACAUGCAAGUCGAGCGCGGGAAGCCGGCGGACUCCUUCGGGAGGAAACCGGUGGAACGAGCGGCGGACGGGUGAGUAACACGUGGGCAACCUGCCGGACUGAUGGGAAUAACCCCGGGAAACCGGGGCUAAUGCCCAAUACGCCCUGACCUCGCCUGAGGUCAGCGGUAAAGCAGGGAUCUUCGGAUCCUUGCACAGUCCGAUGGGCCCGCGGCGCAUUAGCUAGUUGGAGAGGUAAGGGCUCCCCAAGGCGACGAUGCGUAGCCGACCUGAGAGGGUGAUCGGCCACACUGGGACUGAGACACGGCCCAGACUCCUACGGGAGGCAGCAGUAGGGAAUCAUCCGCAAUGGGCGAAAGCCUGACGGUGCAACGCCGCGUGAGUGAUGAAGGUUUUCGGAUCGUAAAGCUCUGUUGACAGGGAAGAACCCACGCCAGUCGAACAGGCUGGCGUGCUGACGGUACCUGUCCAGAAAGCCCCGGCUAACUACGUGCCAGCAGCCGCGGUAAUACGUAGGGGGCAAGCGUUGUCCGGAAUUAUUGGGCGUAAAGGGCACGCAGGCGGUUUCGUCAGUCCGAUGUGACAGGCCACGGCUCAACCGUGGAAGGCCAUUGGAAACUGCGAAACUUGAGUAC
rnacentral:rRNA from 1 species